rnacentral:lncRNA from 1 species
UAGGUCUUCAAAAAAUUGACCGAGAAAACUAUUUGAGAGAACCAAACCUUCGAAGUCUAUCGGACCCAAAGUGUAGUAGUCUAACCAAACUUCAGACCUUGUGGGAUCUUUUCUCUGUUUUCCUUUUUUUUUUUAAAGCAAUAUCUGUGGUUAAAAGAGAUUGGUACGUUUAACAUGCAAGGCAACUACGGAGCCUGGCGUAACCGCGUCAAUAUUAUGUUGCUGACUUUUCUUUGCUGUAGGUACUUAGUGGGAAACUUGUUUAAGCGGAAAGAACGGAGUUUGUUCCAGUGGCUAUCUACACAAACAACGUGUGCUACGCGGAAUGUGAGUAUUAUGUUACCCUGGAUUGUCUUGAAAAUAUUUCUCUCGCUUUUACUUUGUUUAAGAAACAUUUGUAGUUGUACAAAAUUAACGUUUAGAACAUGCGAGACGGUUAAAAAGCUACAGAUAACAGGGUAUGCUCAUUUUGCCAGCCUUUCCUUGGUGCAGCAAAUUGGAGCGAGGGUGAAGCCUUCCUAAGUGUAGAGCUACAGAUUGAAGGUUUUUGGACCCUACUUUAUUUAAUUUAAUAGUGGAACUUAUCCUUCUUGGAAAAUAGUAAAAGAGGCAAUCGGACCUGCUUUGUUGUUGUUUACUAGAGACGUGUUACUGAAAGGAACAAAUGAGGUUUCUUCCCAUUGCUGGUUGUGCAGGUGACGAGUGCGGCUGCGUGGCUUCUGAGUGUGAUUUUACUCCGUGUACAUUAUCAGGGAAUGGAGUUUUUACUCUUACCGAGUUUUAUUUUAUAGGGUUGUCGUCCCCGUAUUUGUAUCUGCAAUUUGUGUAGUGUUGGAACGGAAGUUUAUGGCUUGAACUUCCAUUUUGGUGGAUAUUCAACUUGGGAAAUAAGUCAUUUAGCGUGGUCCAGUUCCAGUGGAGUUCAUAGCAACCAUGUUGGCUCUUAACAAGCGGACUGAUCCGUUGAAUUACUUGCAAAUUUUGUGCUUGACUAGGGAUCUUUUGUUGAUAAAUAGAUCUUCCUAAGUGUUGGUUUGUAGUUAAUUUGAUUUUUUACCCACAAGUAGUCUUGUUCUUUUUAUCUUCGGUAUUAAACCCCUUGUUUCCUUGGAGAAGCAGCUGUUUUUGUUUCUAUUCGUGUCGUUUUGUUUACUUAGGCUCCUGUACAGUUUGCAAUUUUUUUUUGGGGCUUCAAAUGAUGAUCCAAUGUAGUGGUAAUUCGUACUGUUUCUGUUGCAAAAUGAGGAGUCAGUAUUCUGCAUAUUAGCAAAUGAUUAUUUAUACUUUGUGAUGCUCUUGGAAGUCCUUUAACCAUGGCUUGAUCCUUGUUCGUGUCUCUCUGAUUUGUGGGCGCGGCUAAAUGAUAUCCUUGGUGCAGGUGAAGUUUGUGAUUGUUAUUUGAAGAGGUACCCAAUAUCUGGCCAUUCUUCGCUGUUGUUUUCUUUCUUGCUACAUGUCAUUUUCACAGGUGCAGCUAUUUUUAUUCCAUAUUCGUCUUAUUGUUGGGCAGUGAUGCGGAGAUUGUGGCGGGGGAAGUGAUGCGGAGGGUAAAGAGAAGGAAGCUGAGAAGGUUGGUGUGGAAUAUCAUCAUCAGCCAAAACCAGGUGAUUUUGUGGUUUCUGGCAACGAAAAUAAGCUCGGUGUGAAUAUUGGAUCAGAAUUGUUGGGCACCAGGUUGACAAAGGGGGUUCUGCCCCAGGGAGAUGUGAUUUGAAAAAUGAUGCAGAGGAGGAGUUCGUGGUUUGUGGGAAGAUGAGAAUUGUCAAGGACUGGGAAGGCCAGUUGUGGAGACUGGGAACUGUCCUUUUUGCUGAGGUUCUUGGCAGAACCCUAACCGGUGAAGCUGUACAGGUGCUUGGUGGAGCAGACAACUCGCCACGCACCCGUCUGUGUGGAUUUGUCAGAGAAGGAAUAGAAAUUGAAAGGAAAAUUUGUAAGUAUUAUUUACGAGGAUUAAGAGAAUAAAUAAUUUAAAAUUAGAUAACAGUUUAAAAAAUUUUAAUAGAAUAUAUUUGUAGAUAUAAAUUUUUUUUAAUAAUACGCGUAUUAUUUAAUAAAUUUUUUAGAAAAAAGAAUUAUUAAAAAUUGUAUUGUAAUUAAGAGUGUUUAUUUUAUUGUGGUUUUUUAUUAUAAUAUUUGUAUUUAGAAAAAAUAUUUUUGUCGUUGGGUGAGUAAAAUAUAAAAUGUUUUUGAUAAUAGUUAAAUUGAAAAUUUAUUUUUUUAUAAAUUUAAAAUAAAAAAUUACAAAAGUAACAUGAAUUUUUAUUAAAAAUAAAUGUUAUUAUUAUUGUAUAAAUAAUAACAUAUUUUCACAAUUAUUUAUAAAAAUAUUUUUAAUGGAAAACUCAGUAAGGCAAUAAAAAAAAUAUUAUCUUUUUAAUUUUCUCUCUCUGCCGCUCUUCAUCUUCGGUCUCUGGUUUUCCUUUUUUCUACCCGAGGUUCCGCGUGUUUAUAAAGCACGUAGGUUGCGUCGCGGAGACGCAGCUCAGCUCCUCUAUAAAAGUGCUGAGACUUUCUUUCCUCCUUCCGCCUCUGCUGUCUCCUGAUCCGGUAAGGUUUUCUUCUGAUUGCCCAUUAGAUCUGGUCCCGCUCCGAUCUUCUAGAGAUUGGAGGCGGUCUUCAUUCUCUCUGAACGGAAGAGUGCAGAAAAUAGGGCUCUUCUGCUUCCGAGUCUUCUCUCUUGUGGCGAUUUAGAGGUUGCGUCACGGAGACGCAGCUCAGCUCCUCUAUAAAAGCGCUGAGACUCUCUUUCCUCCUUCCGCCUCUGCCGUCUCCUGAUCCGGUAAGGUUUUCUUUUUGAUUGCCCAUUAGAUCUGGUCCCGCUCCGAUCUUCUAGAGAUUGGAGGCGGUCUUCAUUCUCUCUGAACAGAAGAGUGCAGAAAAUAGGGCUCUUCUACUUCGGAGUCUUCUCUUUUGCGGCGAUUUAGAGGUUGCGUCGCGGAGAGGCAGCUCAGCUCCUCUAUAAAAGCGCUGAGACUCUCUUUCCCCCUUCCGCCUCUUCUGUCUCCUGAUCCGGUAAGGUUUUCUUUCGAUUGCCCAUUAGAUCUGGUCCCGCUCCGAUCUUCUAGAGAUUGGAGGCGGUCUUCAUUUUUUCUGAACGGAAGAGUGCAGAAAUUGGGGCUCUUCUACUUCCGAGUCUUCUCUCUUGCGGCGAUUUAGAGGUUGCGUCACGGAGACGCAGCUCAGCUCCUCUAUAAAAGCGCUGAGACUCUCUUUCCUCCUUCCGCCUCUGCCGUCUCCUGAUCCGCUAAGGUUUUCUUUUUGAUUGCCCAUUAGAUCUGGUCCCGCUCCGAUCUUCUAGAGAUUGGAGGCGGUCUUCAUUCUCUCUGAACGGAAGAGUGCAGAAAAUAGGGCUCUUCUACUUCCGAGUCUUCUCUCUUGCGGCGAUUUAGAGGUUGCGUCACGGAGACGCAGCUCAGCUCCUCUAUAAAAGCGCUGAGACUCUCUUUCCUCCUUCCGCCUCUGCCGUCUCCUGAUCCGCUAAGGUUUUCUUUUUGAUUGCCCAUUAGAUCUGGUCCCGCUCCGAUCUUCUAGAGAUUGGAGGCGGUCUUCAUUCUCUCUGAACGGAAGAGUGCAGAAAAUGGGGCUCUUCUACUCCUGAGUCUUCUCUCUUGUGGCGAUUUAGGGUUUUCCUCAGCUUCUUCUAGGUUCUAAUCGGUGAAGAGAGACGGAAGAACAGAGUUGAAGAGGGUAGGUGAAAGGAAGAGACAAUAAUUUGUAAGAGGUAUGUAUGUGUUAAUUUCUCUUAUGGAUUUGUGAGGAAUGUAUGCCUAAACGAUAAAGAGUUCCACCCGGAAAGUUUUCUGUGUUGUUCACAGUUUUGUCACCGAAGCACUAAAAUAUUUUACAAAGAGGAAAAACUCUCUCAGUGUUACGUUUAUUACCCGUUAUUGUUGAUUUACUGUGCGAUGUUCGUGGGAGCUGUAUCGAUGUGUCUUGAUCCCUCUUGUUUUUCCCUGAUUUACAGGGACCACAGUCUGACAAUAUUGUAAUCCUCGUUGAGUAAGGGUAUGGAUUGCUGGUUCAAGAGGGUAUGCAAUAUCUGUUUACACUCACACCUCUUGGUGCGGGUUCAAGAGGUAUGCUUGCCUCGAACAUGUGGUUGAACGGUAUCUUGGCCCAUUUUGAUGCUUUGAAAUGUUUAAUUUAAAUUUUACUACAUCCCUUCAGGGGUCAUAAAAUGAAGGGUAAAUGCAAAAAUAAAACCAAAUAUAAGGUGGAGGUUUUUAGAUUUUCGACUGAAUCACAAUUGAGUUGUUGGGUUUAACAAAAUUAUAAUUCAAUUUAGCCAAGUGUGAUCGGCUGAAAAUGCUAAAUUACCCUCAGCCUGCUGUGUAAUUGUUUCAGUAUUACUCUGUUGGGCUCUUAUAAAGCAAUGGAUCCAAAUGUUGCACGAGCUGUUGAGUAAUUUCCAACUGGUUUUGGUGAUUCGCUUUUAUUAGUUGAGAUAAAAAAAUAAAACGAAUUAUUAAUUAUUAAUUUGGUUUCGGCAUUAUAAAAAAAAAUUGUAUUUGAAAAAUAUUUUUGUAGUUAGAUGAGCAAAAAAGAAAAAUGUUUUUGAUAAUAGUUAAAUUCAAAAUUUAAAAUAAAAAAUUACACUCAAUACAUUUUUACGGGUCUGCUAGAUUCAAAUAAUGUAUCGUUCUUAUUUCUCUCACGCUUUUUGGUUGUAUUUGAGCAAUAAUUUGUCAGAGGCAGCAAGCCAGAUCUGGAAAUAUGGCAAGUUUUUAGAAAUUGGUGCUGCGCGUUUAGUCAUCUUUAACCAACAAGUUCUUAUGCUGGUUUUCAGGUAAUUCUCUUUUGUUUCGCUCCCUUUCAAUCUUCUUUAAGAUCUCAGAAUGGAAGUCCCCAGCUUCCUAUCUCUUAGUCUCCUCUUAAACCUGAAGGUCAUUAUUUUUGGCCCGUCCAACAGUUCUGUUGCAGUCAAGAGAAAGGUUUCCAGGAUGCUUGAGAUGCUUGCCUCGUACAAGGGGGGGUGUACCAUGUGGGAACCGUGUUCCCAUAAUCUUGAUUCUGUCCGGUUCCAUCCAAAGUGCAUAAAGAAACCUAGUUCCCUCGCUGGAAACUGAUAAUAGUGCUCGGUAUUUUAUGUUUAUUACCAGUUAUUGUUAAUUUAUUGCGUGACUUUCAUGGGAGUUGUAUCAAUAUGUCUUGAUCCCUUUUCUUGUUCUUUGAUUUACCGGGACCAUAUUCUGAAAAUAUUGUAAUCGUCGCUCGGUAAGGGUAUGGAUUGCUGGUUCAAGAGGUUUGCAAUAUCUAUUUUCACUCGUAUCACUUGGUGCUGGAUUCAUAUGUUUUUCUUCUGUAUUAAAAAGUUACGUAUGUGUAUUAAUAUUGGUACCGAGGGGGCACUGCGCACUUACAAAAUUUUUACAAGUCGGCUGGAUUAAAAUAAUGUGACGUGCUUUGUUCGUCUCGGCGCUUUUUGCUUGUAUUUGAGCAAUCAUUUGUUAGAAGCAGCAGGCCAGAUCUGAAAAUAUGGCAAGUUUUUAGAAAUUGAUGCUGCGCCUUUUAGUUGCCAACACGUUCUUAUGUUGGUUUUCAGGUAAUUCUCUUUUGUUUCACUCCCUUUUAUUCGUCUUUAAGAUCUCGGAAUGGAAGUCCUCAGCUUCCUUGUCCCCCGCAUCUUUGAGUCUCAUCUUAAAGCUGAAGGUCAUUAUUUUUGGCCUGUCCAGCAGUUUUGUUGUGGUUGAGAGAAAGGUUUAAAGGAUGCAUGAGAUGCUUGCCUCGUACAAGGGUGUCUAUUAUGUGGGAACCGUGUUCCCAAAAUCUUGAUUCCGUCUGGUCCAUAGUCCCUGCAAAGUCAUUCCAUCCAAAGUGCAUAAAGAAACAUAGUUCCCACGUUGGAAACUAAUAGUGUUGUUCCGUACGACGUUUGUUACCAGUUUAUUUUUUGUUUGAUGUUCGCGGGAGUUGUAUCAGUAUGUCUUGAUCCCUUCUCUUGUUUUUUGAUUUACAGGGACCAUAUUCUGACAAUAUUAUAACGCUCGCUCGGUAAGGGUGUGGAUUGCUGGUUCGAGAGGUACGCGACAUCUCUAUUUACACUCGUAUCACUUGGUGCUGGAUUCAAAUAUUUCUCUUUGGAAGUAAAAGUUACGUAUUUGUUUAAUGUUGGUACCAAAGGGGUACUGCUGCGCAUUACAAAAAUUUCUACAAGUCUGCUAGAUUCAAAUAAUAUUUCUCUCACGCUUUUUGGUUGUAUUUGAGCAAUAAUUUGUCAGAGGCGGCAGGCCAGCCAGAUCGGGAAAUAUGGCAACUUUUUAGAAAUUGAUGCUGCGCGUUUACUUUACCAACAAGUUCUUAUGUUGGUUUUCAGGUAAUUCUCUUCCGCCCCGCUCCCUUUUAAUCAUCUUUAAUAUCUCAGCAUGGAAGUCCUCAGCUUCCUUGCCCCCCGGGCCCCACUUCUUUUAGUCUGCUCUUAAAGCUGGAGGUCAUUUUUUUUUGACGUUUGUUGUAGUCAAGAGAAAGGUUUCUAGGAUGCAUGAGAUGCUUGCCUCGUACUAGGGUGUCUUUUAUGUGGGAACCAUGUUCCCGUAAUCUUGGUUCUGUCUAUGGUUCGUAGUCCCAUAUGAACGAGGAUGCUGUGUUCUCGGGAUUUUUAUCUGAUGCGAGAAAGGUCGUCAUUCUUUAUUUCGAAGCCACAUUAGAUUGAUUUUGUGUCCCGGUAAAAGUGCCCUACUUUAUUUUAUUGAAAGUGAGAGUAAAUUGAUUUAUUGUUUCAAAAUAAAUUUGCGUCCGUGUUUAAUGGAAAAUUUUACGAUUUCUUCGGAGAAAGUAGAAUUCCCCAUGUCCUUCGGGUAGUUGGAACUUAAAAAGAAUGUGCUUGGAUCUUCUAACAGCAAGUAAAUAUUUUUGGGCAUUGUUUUAAGGUUCUUGCUUCCUUUGGUAGAAAAUAAUUUUUUAUGGUGUUCCGGUCCUGAAUUAUUGCUCAGAAACUGAAAGCAUGUUUUGUAAAUCUUUUAAAAAAUAAAUGCGCCUGAUGAACAAGAAAAUUUCCCAUUCUUGAGAAAACAAAAAAUGUUCCCUGUUCCCCCGGGUAGCACCAACUGUGAGAAAAUGUGUCUUGAGCAUUUUGAUUCCUAGUAAAUAUGUUUAUGUGUGUCGCUUCGGCAGUGAAAGCUAUCGUGAUGGGCACCCUAUCUCUCUUAGACGUUGCAAUUGGAUUUUCUAGUAUUUGAUAACCAUUUUACAAAAGAUAUGUAUGCUCGGUUUUGGGAACUUUCAGAUUUAGUUUAUUGGAGAAAUGUUGUUGGUAUGUGUUUUGAAGCUUCAUUCAUGAAAUAUAGUUGGUGAAGGAUCAUUGUGGGCCGGGUCUCUUGAGUAGAAAACAUUAUUUCUGCAGCCCUUGCAUGCACAAUGAAUGUUUUAUCUGAGAUUCUCGGUCCAAAAUGUAAGAGCUUCAAUUCCAUAUUAACUACAUUUCAGUCCCAAAAUACUAGGGAAGCCAAUAUUUCAUUUUGAAAGUUAAAGGGUGUUGAUAUGUGUUUUGAAGCUUCAUUCAUGAAAUAUAGCCGGUGAAGGAUCACUGUUGGCCGGGUCUCUUGAGUAGAAAACAGUAUUUGUGCAGCCCCUGCAUUCACAAUGAAUGUUUUAUUUGAGAUUCUCGGUCCAAAAUGUAAGAGCUUCAAUUCCAUAUUAACUACCUUUUCAGUCCCAAAAUACCAGGAAAGCCAAAAUUUCAUUUUGAAUGUUAAAGGUUGCUGAUAUGUGUUUUGAAGCUUCAUUUAUGAAAUAUAGUUGGUGAAGGAUCAUUAUUGGCCGGGUCUCUUGAGUAGAAAACAUUUUUUCUGCAGCCCGUGCAUUCGCAAUGAAUGCUCUAUUUGAGAUUCUCGGUCCAAAAUGUAAGAGCUUCAAUUCCAUAUUAACUUCCUUUCAGGCCACAAAAAUCUAGGACAGGCAAUAUUUCAUUUUGAACGUUAAAGGUUGUUGCUGUGUGUUUUGAAGCUUCAUUUAUGAAAUAUAGUUGGUGAAGGAUCAAAAUUGGCCGGGUCUCUUUGAGUAGAAAACAUUAUUUGUGCAGCCCUUGCAUUCACAAUGAAUGUUUUAUUUGAGAUUCUGGGUCCAAAAUGUAAGAGGUUCAAUUCCAUAUUAACUACCCUUUAGUCCUAGGAAAGGCAAUAUUUCAUUUUGAAAGUGGAAGUUUUUGUCGAUAUUUCAAAACAAACUUAUGUGCCUCGGUGCAUGAGAACGUGAAUCUUGAUUUUUUGUGGCAAAAUGAAACUGCUUGCAACCCUCAAGAUGUACAGCCUCAAAAAGAUGUGGCUUAAAAUCUCAAGCCAAAGUUUGGGUGCGUCGGUUUGAAAGUGAGAGUUUCUUUGAUCACGCACUUUCUUUUGGAGAGUUAGGCGACGUUUCACUUAGUGGUGGCAAUAUGCUCUCCCAAUCUAUUUUUAGCGCGGACAGAAAAAGUUUCGUGCUAGGUUAUGGGAAUCUUCAUUAUACGUGGAAGAGGUUGCCGUUCUUUAUUUUGAAGCCACAUCGAUAAUCUAGUUGCAGCGUUUUUCCUCUGUAGAGGUGCCCCGAUUCGAUAUUUUGAAACCGACACUGUAUUUACUGAUUCUUUUAAGAUAAGUGUGCCCCUCGGUAUUCAAGCAGAAGUUUCUCUGUUUUUUGGGGAAGAGUAAAAUUGCUCUGUUCUCUUGGUUGGUUGGAACAUAGAAAGCAAUAUGUUUGGAUCUUUUGAUUGCAAGUAAAUAUUUUUUCGGCACGUGGUUUUAAAGCUUUUUGGCUUUUGUUAAAGAAUAGUUUUUUUAAAAAAAUAUAUAUACAAAAGAAUAGUUUCCUGUUUUGGAAGUUUCCUGGUUUGGGAAGUAAAGGAGACUCAAUUUAUACUUUAAAACCUAAAAGCUGUUUUUAUGCAUUAUUUAUGGAUAAAUGUGUGACUUGAUGCACAAGAAAAUGAAUUUUGAUUUCUUGGGGCAAUGUAAAUCUGCUUGGGUCCCUCUCGCAGUUCCAAGUUUUAGAAAAACUUGCAUUGACAAAGAUUCGAGGAUAUUGUGACAGCACCACUUCUGACACGGUAACUUGCUUUCAAUAUUUAGUUUACGUAAGGCAUACGAGAUGUGUUUUGAAGGUUUUGAAACCCAUGGUCUGUUGCUGCGAAAAUAUAUCAUUCGGAGUCCCGUAUUCAGAAAGUAAAAGGCCUCGAUUAAUCUUUUCGAAAGCUAGCCUGUCCAUUUAUUUUUUGAAAACGAUUUUUUUUGUUGGUCCCCUGAGCAAAUGUUCCUCAAUUUUUUGGGGCAAUGUGAGAUUUUGCAAAAUGUCCCUUGGAUAAUUCUUUCUCUAGCAAAAUGUCCCUUGAUCUUUUAGUUGGAAGUAACUAUUCUUUGCUAUGUUGGUUUAAUUAAAGUUUCUCUUGAUCUUUUGCUUUCGAAAUAAAUCUGCAGGUGUCCCCACAGGGAAAUUGUAGCAGUUGGAAAAGUAAGUGGAGGUCAAGUAAUUUUUUUAGAAACUGAAGGCGUGUUCUAUCGAUUAUUUUGAAAGAUAAGUGUGCCUUGGUGCAAAAGAAAAUGACUUUGGAUUUGCUGCAGCAAAGCAAAACUUUUUUGAUGCCCUGGGUUUUCGGAACUCUAAAAGUUGUGGUUUGGACUCUUGAUUCAAAGUAAGUGUUUUUGAGAAUACGUUGGUUUAAAGGAAAAGUAACUCUGAUAACAAACACCCUUUCUCUUGGAGAGUUGGCAGCCUUUCUCUACGUAACUGGCAGUGUGCUUUCUCAAUCAUUUUAUUGCUACGGGCGUAAGACAUGAUUGCUCGGUUAAAGGAGAUAUUCAUUUUAUUUGAGAAAGGCCUUCGUUCUUGAUUUGGGAGCCAAUUUAAUGAACUUCAGUAAAAGUGGGCGAAUUCAUUGACUCGCAAAUGAGAGUGCUUUGGUUUAUUGUUUCAAAAUAAAUGUACUUUGACUCCUAGGCAACGGUUUUUUAAAUUUCUCGGGAAAAAGUAAAAUUCAUCCUCGCUCGGCCAGUUGGAGCUCAAAAAAAGCAUGCAUGUAUGCUGAAUUUGUCUUGGUUCUAAUCAUUGUUCUAAUGUAGGUCUUCAAAAAAUUGACCGAGAAAACUAUUUGAGAGAACCAAACCUUCGAAGUCUAUCGGACCCAAAGUGUAGUAGUCUAACCAAACUUCAGACCUUGUGGGAUCUUUUCUCUGUUUUCUUUUUUUUUUUUAAAGCAAUAUCUGUGGUUAAAAGAGAUUGGUACGUUUAACAUGCAAGGCAACUACGGAGCCUGGCGUAACCGCGUCAAUAUUAUGUUGCUGACUUUUCUUUGCUGUAGGUACUUAGUGGGAAACUUGCUUAAGCGGAAAGAACGGAGUUUGUUCCAGUGGCUAUCUACACGAACAACGUGUGCUACGCGGAAUGUGAGUAUUAUGUUACCCUGGAUUGUCUUGAAAAUAUUUCUCUCGAUUUUACUUUGUUUAAGAAACAUUUGUAGAUGUACAAAAUUAACGUUUAGAACAUGCGAGACGGUUAAAAAGCUACAGAUAACAGGGUAUGCUCAUUUUGCCAGCCUUUCCUUGGUGCAGCAAAUUGGAGCGAGGGUGAAGCCUUCCUAAGUGUAGAGCUACAGAUUGAAGGUUUUUGGACCCUACUUUAUUUAAUUUAAUAGUGGAACUUAUCCUUCUUGGAAAAUAGUAAAAGAGGCAAUCGGACCUGCUUUGUUGUUGUUUACUAGAGACGUGUUGCUGAAAGGAACAAAUGAGGUUUCUUCCCGUUGCUGGUUGUGCAGGUGACGAGUGCGGCUGCGUG